rnacentral:rRNA from 1 species
GAUGAACGCUGGCGGCGUGCCUAAUACAUGCAAGUCGAGCGAACGGACGAGAAGCUUGCUUCUCUGAUGUUAGCGGCGGACGGGUGAGUAACACGUGGAUAACCUACCUAUAAGACUGGGAUAACUUCGGGAAACCGGAGCUAAUACCGGAUAAUAUUUUGAACCGCAUGGUUCAAAAGUGAAAGACGGUCUUGCUGUCACUUAUAGAUGGAUCCGCGCUGCAUUAGCUAGUUGGUAAGGUAACGGCCUACCAACGCAACGAUGCAUAGCCGACCUGAGAGGGUGAUCGGCCACACUGGAACUGAGACACGGUCCAGACUCCUACGGGAGGCAGCAGUAGGGAAUCUUCCGCAAUGGGCGAAAGCCUGACGGAGCAACGCCGCGUGAGUGAUGAAGGUCUUCGGAUCGUAAAACUCUGUUAUUAGGGAAGAACAUAUGUGUAAGUAACUGUGCACAUCUUGACGGUACCUAAUCAGAAAGCCACGGCUAACUACGUG